GUUGUUUAUUGUUGAACGCAUGAUGAAAUUUACAUCACGCAUUGGAAUAUUCGAGUGCACCGACAGCUUUUACUAUACUCAUACAGAUAUGAAUGCAUAAUUCAGAUGCUUUGAAACAAUAUAUAAAUGUGAUGUUGUGGGAUCGUCUCUUUAUCUGUCUUUUUAAUUGGGUAUUCAAGUUUUUUACAAUGUCAUCGAUCAGUUUCUAUAUAAAAAAAAUAUAUAUAGUUUUUUUUUAACCCGCUUAAAAAUGAUUUUUGUUGCAAGGGAGCUUCCAUUUGAUUUUUAGGGGGAUGAACAAAAUUAAUGUUGUCCUGCAUUUUUUUUUGGUGUAAACUGU
rnacentral:lncRNA from 1 species